AGGAGCUGUGUGCCUGGAGCGAGGAGGAGUGUCGAAACUUUGAACAUGGCUAUCGAGUUCAUGGGAAGAACUUCCACCUCAUUCAGGCCAAUAAGGUACGCACACGGUCGGUGGGGGAGUGUGUGGAGUAUUACUACAUGUGGAAGAAGUCGGACCGCCAUGAGUACUUUACCCAGCAGACCACCAAGCUGGGUCGCAAGAAGUACAGUCUGCAGUCAGGGAACAUGGAGGAUGGAGAGCAGGAUGGAGAGCAGGAUGGAGAGGUUGGGGAGAUGGAGGGGUGCUCCCAGAUUGAGCCCCACUCACCCCCACCAGUCAUGGACCUGGACAAGCAAGAUGCUGAAUUGCAGACGGAGGUGUUGGAGCUGUGUGGUGCUCCUUGUCCCAGCCCAAGCCCACAGAGGGAGCAGCUGUUCAGCCACUUAUCUCCACUCCCCUCUCUGAGGGACCUGCAGGAGGAUCCCUCUCUGAACUGUCAUAGCCAAGGCCGCUGUCCCACCUCUCCCCCUGCCCAGCUCCACCCCUCCCCCCGGCCCUGCGGCAGCCCCACAUCCUCCUCAGCAGAGCCUCAUCUCCUGGGUUCUGGCUUCUACCAGCUGCAGCUGGGGCCCUUCCUUCCAGACGGCCUGUCCAUGGGGCCAGAGGGUGGGGCCUCUCAGAGGCUGCAGGUGGACUUCUCCCUGCCCUCCGUCCCCCAGCCCCCACCCUUGCCUGCCAUUGCCCCAUCCUCCUCUGUCACUUCUGACUUUGGGGCCAUCAGCAGUUACCUGUGUCCCUCGGCCCUGUGCCCCCCUCCCGUCCAGCACUCCCGCUCUCUCACCCAGUGAGGGGAGGAAGAAGGGUGUCUUUACCCUGGAGAACAUUCCAAUAAUGCCUGGGUUGUUUGUACUUCUAAGUACUGCCAGUUGAAGCUAACUUGGACCAGAGGUCAUCCAUGUGAUGGUGUGAAGCUCCCCAGGAGAGAAACUGUCUUUUUGCGUGGGAGAUAGGCCUACCUGUAUCAGAGUGUUUACUAGGGGACACCCACUGCUCACAAGCACAAUGGCUUACCUACCUGUCUAUUCUGGAAGGGCAGUAGUUCUACCGAGACGUUCCCAGUUCUUAGAGAAUUCUUAGAUAUAAUGUUGGGACUGGAAAAGCUGGUGGGCUCGUUGAUGGCUCCAAGGCCAAAACAUUUAGCCUGAUGUUUGUUGCAGUGGCCUCGUCCAGAGCAGAACUAGAGACUGUGAUUUAACCUCCCUCACUGAUUUCCCAACAUUUACUGGGAACAGUGAGCAGCAGACAGACAACAUGACCUGGAGUCCUUGAUGCUGUAUUAUAGCAGAUGUCCACAAGAGAUGUUCUCCCUCUAUAUCAGUUCUGAUAAGGUUGUUUUUACAAGCAGGGUUCAGUCUGCACUUGUAUGACUUAUCACAACUCUGACUGUGGACCUCUUAGGUAGGAUCUGCCUCCCUGGUUCACUGUGAGAGCUUCCACCUCUCUUGAACAUCUACAACUGAAACUGAAGGUUUUGUAUGCAGUACGUUUAAGAGGAAAGAUCUGUAUAGGAAUACCAUGAAACUAUGCUUUUGAGAUUGUCACAAUGUUUUUAUUUUAUUGUUCUUUGUUCCCAGUUGUUCAGGUAUUCAUUGGCAGGUUUGCAAUAAGGAACCUGAGUUUGUGAUGGGAGUCCUUGUGUUCUCUCUUUCCAGUUUAUGUUGACGUUUAAAGGUCUUGUACAGUACCAAACUCCCACAAUUGCCUGACAACCACGGUAGGCACGUUAGCCUGUGUUUUGCGCAUUAUUGUACAUGCUACUGUAGGUAAGUCACUGAAUACACAGGUACUGUAGCCUCUGGCUUCUUCCCUGUCUCUCAACUCCAGUUUUUGUGUGAUUUAAGGUUUGAAUAUUGCCCUUAACCACCCAUCCGACCUUGUGGAUAACAGUCAUGGAAAAAGCCCAAAGGCAUUGAAGGACAUCGACCCAAAGGGGGUGUGUUCAGAAGGGUGAAAGGUUAUGAACGUUGCAGAUGGAGAAUGUGAUAUACAGAGCUAACACGCUUGCUUAUUCUGUACCGUUGCACCCUCCUGAACAGACCCCAGGUUUCACUGAUGCUGUACUGUAUUCUGCCACUAGAGGACCUUGGCUGUCGCCUAGUCUGAAGAGAGCCUGCCUGCCUGCUUUGUUCCCCCUGCUCAGGGGGAGAGAAUCUGUCCCCUAUGCUCUCUGUCCCGACGGCAGGAAAACUCAAUUUCUUUAUUUAUUCCCCAUUUUCUAUUUUUAUAGGUGGGGUUUUCCCUCUACUCCCUGCUCUGACCUGAGCUGUUCUAGAUCUGUUUGUUUUUGUUCAACCGUUUACAGGAGAUUCUGGACGUUGACUAUCAGGACAGGAAGGGGAGUAGAAACACUGCCUUUUGUUUAUUCUUUUUUUUAGCAUUUAUAUCCUACUGCUUCUGUUUAUAUUGGUUUGUAAUUAUAAUAUUUUGUAAAAAAAAGUACAAACAAAAUAUAUUAAAAAUGUUGACAAUUAAUGAAAGUCAUUGCACACAUACACACACCAGUACUUGAAUCUUAGUCUUGUGUGCAAAUCUGUUUUGUACUUUAAUUCAAUUUCCAACAACAUUGUACCCACCUGAAUCUCUUGUGGACAGACUAUGUAUCUGACCGAAUUAUGCAAGAUUUUAAUUCUGGGCUAACCAAGAUUGUACCAAAAUGUUUUUACAUAUCCUGUGAUUGGGUGGUGCCAGUAUAGUAGCUGAAUAACCCACGGCAUUGUGGAGAUCUGUAGUUAUUCAGAAACUUGGUUAACCCAGAAUUCACACUGAAUAACCCAGUAGCAGAAUAACACAUACCCAAACAAAUCUCCACAGUACUCAUGUAAUGGCCUUACACUAUGCCUACAGUAUAACCAGGCUUCAAAUUCAACUGGAUAUUCUGUACAUUUCUGCAUUACAUUAUUUUGAAUCAGGGUCUGGUUUAUUUGAACUGAUGCAACAGAGAGCAAGAAAUUACAGGCUUACUUCCUCAAAGGUAAACUCAGGAAUUAUUCUUAAUUCCUUGGAAAGUGACUAAGUGACUGACGGGUGAACACUAGCAAGGAGUGAUAACCAUUCAUUAGGAAAUGCGGGAGGGAUAUGGCAUCCACUAAUUGCCAUACAUUGUUUUUCUAAUGUGAUCUGAGAGGCUACUACAGGAUACUGUCAUAACUGUGUGUGGGGGGGGGGGGGNNNNNNNNNNNNNNNNNNNNGGCAGGGCCACCAGGUAAAGACUCUAACCAGACAGGGCCACCAGGUAAAGACACUAACCAGGCAGGGCCACCAGGUAAAGACUCUAACCAGGCAGGGCCACCAGGUAAAGACUCUAACCAGGCAGGGCCACCAGGUAAAGACUCUAACCAGGCAGGGCCACCAGGUAAAGACUCUAACCAGGCAGGGCCACCAGGUAAAGACUCUAACCAGACAGGACCACCAGGUAAAGACUCUAACCAGGCAGGGCCACCAGGUAAAGACUCUAACCAGACAGGACCACCAGGUAAAGACUCUAGCCAGGCAGGGCCACCAGGUAAAGACUCUAACCAGACAGGUUAGUGUCUUUUUUUGAUAUGAGGUCAAGUUUCAUGUGGUCAGAACUAGAGGGUCUUUUCCAAAAUACUUUUGAGGGCAUUAUGAUUCUCAGGCCAGGAAGUUGAAAGUAUGAAAUAUAAAAUACUAAACCAUAAUCAAAUCUCAGGGCUCAUGAAAAUUAUUUUAUUGGAGGCUUAGCAUUUUAGAAAUGUUGUAUUGGCUUCCUCUCAAUACUUUCUGAAUUGUAACCUAAAAUGAUUGAUGAGUAAAAUGAUUGAUGAGUUUAUUUACAUUAUUUUUAUAAUUAUAUUCUAAUUAUCUUACCAUGUUUACCAGCUUUGUUAAAUUGUACUUUGUCUGUAAGUAAGAUUUUGUAUAGAGCUGAUUGUAACGUUAAGGAGAGAAAAAAGGGAACCACUGCCCAAUGUCAAUGUCAAUGAUGACUCUGUCAGUUACCAUUGAGGUAGUGCUUGUUCAAGUCCCUCUUUNNNNNNNNNNNNNNNNNNNNAGGGGGGGGGGGGGGGGGGGGAUAAGUUAGUAAGGUUCUUGGGACUGUCACACAUCUCUACAUACUGUCUACACAUUUAUAUUUACGUCAUUUAGCAGACGCUCUUAUGUGUCGUGUGACUCCGAGGACACCAUCCGUGGUAGCGGACCCCUUUCUAAUGAGGCGUGUUGAGAUUUGUUUACACAGGCAAGACAAGCUUCUUAUAACCCAUAUCUCAGGCCAAUGAGAGGGUUCAGAUGGGCAGACUCAGGGUGCUGGAGUUACAGGGAUUCACCUUAACUCAGGGUGCUGGAGGUACAGGGAUUCACCUUAACUCAGGGUGCUGGAGGUACAGGGAUUCACCUUAACUCAGGGUGCUGGAGGUACAUGGAUUCACCUUAACUCAGGGUGCUGGAGGUACAGGGAUUCACCUUAACUCAGGGUGCUGGAGGUACAGGGAUUCACCUUAACUCAGGCUGGACGACAGGAGUCUGGUAAUAGUGGCUCUUUUCGUAGGGAUUCAUAUUUGCACUGCUUCAGGUGAGAAUUUGUCUAACUUUUUAGAGUGGUGGGUCUACAGGCAUUGGAAGUUGGAACAAGUCUUGCUUCUCUUAUGAAAGUAAAAAUAAAAUACUUGAUGGACUAGGUGUUGUGAAUUUGGCAUGCUGCUACCUCGACAUGUCCACUUGACAGGGUUUCUUUCUUAUCAGAGUGUAGGCUGGACCCUCAGUAACCUAAAGUAGGCUAGGUUACAGCAGUCUGUUUCAUGGACUCACAGACAGAGCUAUGGAUACAAGGAUUGACCAUACAUUAAAUACAAAUUAUAGUUUUAACCAUGUUUUGAGGCGAUACAAACAAACAAGUUUAUAUUUUGGGCUCUGAUGAAGCAUCUGGUAUAUAUAUAUAUAUAUAUAUAUAUAUAUAUAUAUAUAUAUAUAUAUAUAUAUAUAUAUAUAUACUGCUCCAAAAAAUAAAGGGAACACUUAAACAACACAAUGUAACUCCAAGUCAAUCACACUUCUGUGAAAUCAAACUGUCCACUUAGGUAGCAACACUGAUUGACAAUACAUUUCACAUGCUGUUGUGCAAAUGGAAUAGACAACAGGUGGAGAUUAUAGGCAAUUAGCAAGACACCCCCAAUAAAGGAGUGGUUCUGCAGGUGGUGACCACAGACCACUUCUCAGUUCCUAUGCUUCCUGGCUGAUGUUUUGGUCACUUUGAAUGCUGGCGGU
rnacentral:lncRNA from 8 species